rnacentral:rRNA from 1 species
GACGAACGCUGGCGGCGUGCUUAACACAUGCAAGUCGAACGGAAAGGCCCUGCUUUUGUGGGGUGCUCGAGUGGCGAACGGGUGAGUAACACGUGUGUAACCUGUCCUUGACUUUGGGAUAACUUUUGGAAACUGGGGCUCAUACCGGAUAGGAUCUCCUGCUGCAUGGUGGUGGUAGGAAAGUGUCGGCUGUUGGGUCUGGUCUCGCGGGUUAUGCGCUUGUUGGUGUGGUAGUUGCUGACCAAGGCUGUGACGGGUAGCCCGCCUUGGAGGGUGGCCGGCCACAAUGGGACUGAGAGACGCAGCAGAAUGCUACGGGCGGCAGCAGUCGAGAGUAUUGCGGAAUGGGCGGAAGCCUGAUGCAGCAACGCCGCGUGCGGGAUGACGGGCUACGAGUUGUAAACCGCUUUCGCCGGUGACGAAGCGAGAGUGACGGUAAUGGGUAAAGAAGCCACGGCUAACUACGUG